rnacentral:rRNA from 1 species
GGGGAAUCUUCCGCAAUGGGCGAAAGCCUGACGCAGCGACACCGCGUGAAGGAAGAAGGCUUUCGGGUCGUAAACUUCUUUUCUCGGGGAAGAGAACGGACGGUACCCGAGGAAUAAGCAUCGGCUAACUACGUGCCAGCAGCCGCGGUAAUACGUAGGAUGCGAGCGUUGUCCGGAUUUACUGGGCGUAAAGGGCGAGUAGGCGGCUUGGCAAGUCUCAUGUGAAAUCUCCCGGCUCAACUGGGAGGGGUCAUGAGAAACUGCCAGGCUCGAGGUCGGCAGAGGAAAGCGGAAUUCCCGGAGUAGCGGUGGUAUGCGUAGAUACCGGGAGGAACACCAGAGGCGAAGGCGGCUUUCUGGGCUGUGCCUGACGCUGAGACACGAAAGCGUGGGGAGCAAACCGGAUUAGAUACCCGGGUAGUCCACGCCCUAAACGAUGGAUACUAGAUAUGGGGGGUAUCGACCCCUCCCGUGUCGGAGUUAACGCGAUAAGUAUCCCGCCUGGGGAGUACGGCCGCAAGGCUAAAACUCAAAGGAAUUGACGGGUCCCCGCACAAGCGGCGGAGCGUGUGGUUUAAUUCGAUGAUAAGCGAAGAACCUUACCUGGGCUUGACAUGCGUCUGACGGUUCGCGAAAGCGGGCUUUCCUUCGGGACAGGCGCACAGAUGUUGCAUGGCUGUCGUCAGCUCGUGCCGUGAGGUGUUGGGUUAAGUCCCGCAACGAGCGCAACCCUCGUCGUUAGUUACUAUGUCUAGCGAGACUGCUCCUAAAAGGGGAGAGGAAGGUGGGGACGACGUCAAGUCGGCACGGCUCUUACGCUCAGGGCUACACACACGCUACAAUGGUCGGAACAGAGGGUCGCGAGGGCGCGAGCCGGAGCUAAUCCCAAAAAUCCGGCCUCAGUUGGAAUUGCAGGCUGCAACUCGCCUGCAUGAACGCGGAGUCGCUAGUAAUCGCAGGUCAGCACACUGCGGUGAAUACGUUCCCGGGGAUUGUACACACCGCCCGU